CAGCACCAGGGAGGGAGGCAGAUGCAGACUGUUCCCUGUAGGCCCUGCUGCUGAACAAGGGGAAACCUGACCUUGAUAAAGGACUCUGGCUACCAGGACUACUUGCCACAGAGUACCCCGAGGGACUGGAAGAUCUGGUCAGCGAGCCUGAUGUUGAGGGUGAGCUACAGCUACUGGUGGCUGAAUAUCCUGAUGAGUUGGAGGAACCAGAGGGACCCAUCUGAGAGACUGGGGAGGAAGUAGCCCAGGGGCAGAACUGGACAGUGCGAUUACCAGUGUGUUCUAGUACAUUUUUAUCUCUUCAAAGGAAAAUAAGAGUGAAUUUACAUAAUGAAAGCCAUUUUAAGCAUUACUGAAUGCCAUAAAAAACAGUUUGGUAGC